rnacentral:lncRNA from 1 species
AUUUAGAAAGCAGGCCUUUGGAGGCCUAGGGCAUGAGGGCAGAGUCCUAUGAAUCAACUAAGUGCCCUUUUAAAAGGGCCUCUGCCCCUUCCACCAAGUGAGGACACAGCAAGAAGUCAUGCUCUAUGAGAAAGCUGGCUCUCACCAGACACCAGAUCUGCUGGCACCUUGAUCUUGGACUUCUCAGACUUCAAAACUGCUAAAUAAUGGCUCCCAAAGAUGUGUCUACAUCCUAAUCUCCAGAAUCUGUGAAUGUUACUUUAUGUGGCAAGUACGUGGCAGAUGUAAUUAAGUCAAGGAUCUUUGGAUGGUUAUCCUGAAUUAUCUGGGUGGGCCCUAAAUACAAUCACAAGUGUCCUUAUAGGAGAGAGGCUGAAGGAGAUUUGGUACCAACAGAAGAGGAGGAGGAAAUUGUGAUCAUGCAGAAACUGGAGUGAUGGAGUCACAAGCCAAGGAAUGCCAGCAGCCACCAGAAGCCGAAAGAGGCCCUGCCAACACCUUGAUUUAGGCCUAAUGAAACUGAGUUUAGAUUUCUGGACCCCAGAACUGUGAAAGAAUAAAUUUCUGUUGUGUUAAGCCCCU